CAACAGUGCGCAGUGCCUGGAGCUGCGUCCGCCCUGAACCCUCGUCUGCAAGUCCCAGCCAGACGUUUCUCGUUGGUGGGCGCUGUGCUGCUGAGCUAAAUCCCCAGCCUGAUGAAGACUUUUCAUAUCCCAUGUUUGUGGAUGAUUUUCUUUAUGAGUAGUAUUUAAGCCAGUAUCUUGAUUCCUGUUUAUGGAAAUAAGGACAAGAGCGGUUCUUCCCCGCGUCCCUCACUGUUGCUACCUUUCACCUGGUGUGACACUGAUGGUGGAGAAACCUGGCUCUAACCUGGGGCACUUGUGGACAAGCAACUGCAGAGUGAUG